AAAGCGUGCGCAGGCGGUUAUGUAAGACAGUUGUGAAAUCCCCGGGCUCAACCUGGGAACCGCAUCUGUGACUGCAUAGCUAGAGUACGGUAGAGGGGGAUGGAAUUCCGCGUGUAGCAGUGAAAUGCGUAGAUAUGCGGAGGAACACCGAUGGCGAAGGCAAUCCCCUGGACCUGUACUGACGCUCAUGCACGAAAGCGUGGGGAGCAAACAGGAUUAGAUACCCCAGU
rnacentral:rRNA from 1 species